rnacentral:rRNA from 1 species
UACGUAGGGGGCAAGCGUUGUCCGGAAUCAUUGGGCGUAAAGCGCGUGUAGGCGGCUCGGUAAGUCUGCUCUGAAAGCCCGGGGCUCAACCCUGGGAGGCGGGUGGAUACUGCUGAGCUCGAGUCCGGAAGAGGCGAGUGGAAUUCCUGGUGUAGCGGUGAAAUGCGCAGAUAUCAGGAGGAACACCGAUGGCGAAGGCAGGUCUCUGGGCCGAUACUGACGCUGAGGAGCGAAAGCGUGGGGAGCGAACAGG